GGGAAUUUUGGACAAUGGGGGAAACCCUGAUCCAGCAAUGCCGCGUGUGUGAAGAAGGCCUUCGGGUUGUAAAGCACUUUUGUCCGGAAAGAAAACCUUUGCACUAAUACUGUGAGGGGAUGACGGUACCGGAAGAAUAAGCACCGGCUAACUACGUGCCAGCAGCCGCGGUAAUACGUAGGGUGCGAGCGUUAAUCGGAAUUACUGGGCGUAAAGCGUGCGCAGGCGGUUCGUUAAGACAGAUGUGAAAUCCCCGGGCUUAACCUGGGAACUGCAUUUGUGACUGGCGAGCUAGAGUAUGGCAGAGGGGGGUAGAAUUCCACGUGUAGCAGUGAAAUGCGUAGAGAUGUGGAGGAAUACCGAUGGCGAAGGCAGCCCCCUGGGCCAAUACUGACGCUCAUGCACGAAAGCGUGGGGAGCAAA
rnacentral:rRNA from 1 species